GACGAACGCUGGCGGCGUGCUUAACACAUGCAAGUCGAACGAAGAGCGAUGGACGCUUGCUUCUAUCAAUCUUAGUGGCGAACGGGUGAGUAACGCGUAAUCAACCUGCCCUUCAGAGGGGGACAACAGUUGGAAACGACUGCUAAUACCGCAUACGAUCUAAUCUCGGCAUCGAGGAUAGAUGAAAGGUGGCCUCUACAUGUAAGCUAUCACUGAAGGAGGGGAUUGCGUCUGAUUAGCUAGUUGGAGGGGUAACGGCCCACCAAGGCGAUGAUCAGUAGCCGGUCUGAGAGGAUGAACGGCCACAUUGGGACUGAGACACGGCCCAGACUCCUACGGGAGGCAGCAGUGGGGAAUCUUCCGCAAUGGACGAGAGUCUGACGGAGCAACGCCGCGUGAGUGAUGACGGCCUUCGGGUUGUAAAGCUCUGUUAAUCGGGACGAAAGGCCUUCUUGCGAAUAGUGAGAAGGAUUGACGGUACCGGAAUAGAAAGCCACGGCUAACUACGUG
rnacentral:rRNA from 1 species